GACGAACGCUGGCGGCGUGCUUAACACAUGCAAGUCGAAUGGUGAACCUCUUCGGAGGGGAUCAGUGGCGAACGGGUGAGUAACACGUGGGCAACCUGCCCCCGGCUCUGGGAUAACUCCAAGAAAUUGGGGCUAAUACCGGAUGUUCACCGCUUCCCGCAUGGGUGGUGGUGGAAAGGGUUUCCGGCUGGGGAUGGGCCCGCGGCCUAUCAGCUUGUUGGUGGGGUAGUGGCCUACCAAGGCGACGACGGGUAGCCGGCCUGAGAGGGUGACCGGCCACACUGGGACUGAGACACGGCCCAGACUCCUACGGGAGGCAGCAGUGGGGAAUAUUGCGCAAUGGGCGGAAGCCUGACGCAGCGACGCCGCGUGGGGGAUGACGGUCUUCGGGUUGUAAACCUCCUUCAGCAGGGACGAAGCGCAAGUGACGGUACCUGCAGAAGAAGCACCGGCCAACUACGUG
rnacentral:rRNA from 1 species